rnacentral:tRNA from 1 species
CAGCUGCUUGGUGAGGUGGAUCAGCGCCGCCUUCGAGGCGUUGUAGAGGCCGAGGUCGGGUUCGAACCCCAUGCCGCCGA